CACAGAGGCUCCUGAGUUCAACGUUCUGUCUUGUCCAUACUUUUUAUUAUGCCUCUGCCAAGAGUUCCUCAACCUUUAUUCAUUCAACAUCAUGUGUCCUGAGCACAAUGCAGUGAAAAAUAAUCCUCUGUCCUGGGCAUAUUCUAUUUGGUCCACAUUUCCCUUAAAAUAUGGCACCCAGAUGCAACAUACUAUUUCAGUGUGGUUCACCCACAUAAUCUUUGAUCUGCAUUUGAGCAUCAAAUGAAGUUACCAAGCAGGCAUACCACAUUACUGAGUCAUGCUGAACUUCCUGUCAACCACUGUGAGUGUUGCUGGAGAUUAUGUCAACAAAGGUGGUAUGAACAAAGAAAAUGGAUUUUCUACAAUGAGGGAACCACAAGAAAAAAGAAAAGUAAAGAUAACAGCGUAUUCUGCAGAUUUUCCAUGUCUUGGCACACCCUCAACAAAUGGGACCUAUCAAGAAUAAAUCAAGAGCUAAGGCGAAUGUGAAUGAGAAGGUUUAUGUCCUACACAAGGCUACUCUUUCAGGCCUAGAAGUAACUGUUUGACUAGUCUAUGGAAGCAGAGAGUCAAGCAAAAUGGGGAACAGUGUAAUAUGUUCCUAAUGAAAGAACAAGAUAAA